rnacentral:rRNA from 1 species
UACGUAGGCAGCAAGCGUUGUUCGGAUUUACUGGGCGUAAAGGGCGCGUAGGCGGCGUGGUAAGUCACUUGUGAAAUCUCUGAGCUUAACUCAGAACGGUCAAGUGAUACUGCUGUGCUAGAGUGCGGAAGGGGCAAUCGGAAUUCUUGGUGUAGCGGUGAAAUGCGUAGAUAUCAAGAGGAACACCUGAGGUGAAGACGGGUUGCUGGGCCGACACUGACGCUGAUGCGCGAAAGCCAGGGGAGCAAACGGG